AGCACCGUAGAUCAGCGGAAGAUCGCUGGGCUCAUAACUCAGAGGUCGCACGAUCGAAACGUGCCGGUGCUA
rfam:Rhizoclosmatium globosum strain JEL800 BCR33scaffold_48, whole genome shotgun sequence.